rnacentral:rRNA from 1 species
CCUACGGGAGGCUGCAGUGGGGGAUAUUGCUCAAUGGGGGAAACCCUGAUGCAGCGACGCCGCGUGGGCGAAGAAGUAUUUCGGUAUGUUAAGCCCUAUCAGCAGGGAAGCAGAAAUGACGGUACCUGAGCAAGAAGCACCGGCUAAAUACGUGCCAGCAGCCGCGGUCAUACGUAUGGUGCAAGCGUUAUCCGGAUUUACUGGGGGUAACGGGAGCGCAGGCGGCACGGCAAGCCUGAUGUGAAAGCCCGCGGCCGAACCGCGGGACUGCAUUGGGAACUACCGGGCUGGAGUGCCGGGGAGGUAGGCGGAAUGCCUAGUGUAGCGGUGAAAUGCGUAGAUAUUAGGAGGAACACCAGUGGCGAAGGCGGCCUACUGGACGGUGACUGACGCUGAGGCUCGAAAGCGUGGGGAGCAAACAGGAUUAGAUACCCGUGUAGUC